UACGAGAGGCUCGAGCGUUAAUCAGAAUCACUGGGCUUAAAGGGUGCGCAGGCGGGCCUGCAAGCGUUUUGUGAAAUCCCACGGCUCAACCGUGGAAUAGCGGAGCGAACUGCAGGUCUUGAGGUAGGUAGAGGUUGACGGAACGAUAGGUGGAGCGGUGGAAUGCGUAGAGAUCUAUCGGAACGCCAAAGGCGAAGGCAGUCAACUGGGCCUUACCUGACGCUCAGGCACGAAAGCGUGGGGAGCAAACAGG
rnacentral:rRNA from 1 species